rnacentral:lncRNA from 1 species
UGUUUGAUGAAAAAGAGUUUUCAUAGACAUCACAUCUGGACUUGAGCUAAUCGAAUCUAUCAUAUGACUGAUGUUGAGAUUUGAUGAUUUAUCUAUGACCUGUCAUCUAGUCGGAACUCACAAUAAAGGGACUGAAUCACACGUUAACUAUAUCAAGAGAUUCAUUUUAGUUCUACUGGAUUGCCACUAUAUACUGCUAGAUAUCAUUGGU